rnacentral:rRNA from 1 species
CGGCAAAAGCUCAAAUUUGAAAUCUGGUACCUUUCGGUGCCCGAGUUGUAAUUUGGAGAAAGUGAUUCUGGGACUGGCCCUUGCCUAUGUUCCUUGGAACAGGACGUCAUAGAGGGUGAGAACCCCGUGAGGCGAGGUGAUCCAGUUCUUUGUAGAACGCUUUCGAA